rnacentral:misc_RNA from 1 species
GAUGAAGAACGUAGCGAAAUGCGAUAAGUAGUGUGAAUUGCAGAAUUCAGUGAAUCAUCGAAUCUUUGAACGCACAUUGCGCCCCUUGGUACUCCAUGGGGCAUGCCUGUUCGAGCGUCAUUUACACCCUCAAGCUCUGCUUGGUGUUGGGCGUCUGUCCCGCUUCGUGCGCGGACUCGCCACAAAUGCAUUGGCAGCGGUCUUGCCAGCUUCUCGCGCAGCACAUUGCGCUUCUAGAGGCUUUGGCGGAUCGGCGUCCAUCAAGUACACCCACAGUUUGACCUCGGAUCAGGUAGGGAUACCCGCUGAACUUAAGCAUAUCAAUAAGCGGAGGA